rnacentral:rRNA from 1 species
UACGGAGGAUGCAAGCGUUAUCCGGAAUGAUUGGGCGUAAAGGGUCCGCAGGUGGCAAUGUGUGUCUGCUGUCAAAGAAUGAGGCUUAACCUCAUCAAGGCAGUGGAAACUACAUAGCUAGAGUACGGUCGGGGUAGAAGGAAUUCCUGGUGUAGCGGUGAAAUGCGCAGAUAUCAGGAGGAACACCGAUGGCGAAGGCAGGUCUCUGGGCCACUACUGACGCUGAGAAGCGAAAGCAUGGGGAGCGAACAGG